AGAAACAUAUACCCCUAAACGAGCAAUUCGAUUUAUCGUGGAAUUUUAAAAGUUGGCAUCUUGGUUCGCCCAACUAUCUGUUUCUCAAAUACCUGUCCUUGCAGCAUACCUGGAAAGUCUAAUAUAAAAGACAUUUCAAACUUCGGAUUUCAGUUUUAUACUUGAUAAUGGGGUCAAACCCGAAACCGGUCGUAUAAAUAAAAUCCAACAUGGUAUU